rnacentral:misc_RNA from 1 species
AAAGUCGUAACAAGGUUUCCGUAGGUGAACCUGCGGAAGGAUCAUUACCGUAGGGGCUCUUAGAGUCUCUAUUCAAGAACACCCUUUGUUUAUGAGAACCGUUCGUCUCCUGGGCGGGCUCGCCCGUGUCCAGGGACCUACAAAAAACCUUUACAGUACCCCCGGGUACAAAACAUAUUAAAACUUUCAACAACGGAUCUCUUGGUUCUG